rnacentral:lncRNA from 1 species
ACACGAUGCGCUGUCUUUUCUGGAGUUGUCUGUGCGCUUAAUGUAGGACGGAAAGACGCGCUAGUGGUCAACCUUAGCGCGAAAAUAAACGGAAGCCCCGAGUUCACUCUGAACGUCCCGGGGGAGGGCUCGGCCUCGGCCUCGAAGUGCAAAGCGGCCGCGGGCUCCGGGCGGGCAGCGGGCCCGGCCCGGGGGAAGCCAAGCAGGGCCAGGACCCGCCGGGCGGCUCCCGGGUGCCGGCUCCGGGCCGCCCGCUGCCCGCUGCCCGCCGCACUCGGCUCAGAUGCGCGCGCCCCGCGGCCGCCCCGAGCAGCGCGUGGCUGGAGAGGGCAGCGGAUCCAGGGCAACGAGCACACGGCCCCGCUGACGGGAAGCGCCGCCGGGCGGCCGAGGAACGUCGGCACGCGGGGACCGGGUUCGGGCUUUUCCGACGCGCGCGGAUGCGUGAGGUCGCGGCGCGAUUUCGGACCCGCAGCUCUCGGGGAGGCCCCGCGUCCAGCGCAGCCCCGCGGCGUUCUGAACAGUUCCCGGCGAGCGAAGCGGAAAAACGGACACCUGUCAGCUCCGCCGUGCACGUACCGCGUGCCUCGCGUCGCGUUAAAACACUGCGACGUUAUACGUGAAAGCGCCGAAUUAGAGAGAAGGAAAAGCCCGUCCUGCUGCACGUGGAGCGGAUGGAUCCGCCCGCGAAUAGCCCGCGGUUCUCGCUCGGGGCCGCCCGGCUCCUGUCAGCCCGCACGGGACGGAGCCGUUCCCUUCCGCCGGGAGCGAGCGCGGGGAUCGGCCCCUGGGGCACCGCGGGGCAGCGGUGCGGGGCUUGGCGCGGCUGCCGCCGGGGCACGGCGGUGUCACGACGGAACGGUCGCGGUGCGGGCUUGGGGGACCCGUCUCCAAAGGACCUCGUUACGGUACCUACCGAGCGUGCUCGCAGGUUGCUGGAAGGAACUUUCUCUGCUCGAUUUGAGAGAGAUGUGCUUUUCUUUUUCAUGGUGUCAUGCAGAAAAUGAAAACAAAGUAGGAUUUUUUUUUUUCAGUAUAAGAUUGAAUAAAGUAUUAUACUUGCUCGGUUACUCUAAAUACACUGCAUCCAGAAGGCAGAACAAACGCUUACGUCUGAUUUCUAUGUGA